GGAAUGAGUACAAUUUAAAUCCCUUAACAAGUAACAAUUAGAGGGCAAGUCUGGUGCCAGCAGCCGCGGUAAUUCCAGCUCUAAUAGCGUAUAUUAAUAUUGUUGCAGUUAAAAAGCUCGUAGUUGAAAUUUGGGACUUUAUUAUAUUGGUUUAUCAUUUGAUGAACUGUAUAAUGGGUUUCUUCCUACUAGAGUUCGAUUCUGUUCUUAAUUGAAUGGAGUAGCUAUCUCUCGGGGUGGUCAAUUGGUUGUUAUAUCUCCACUAAUAAGCAGAGAGGGGAUAAAACUCUCAAAGUAAGUUAUGUGGGUCAAGGUAUGAUGAUUAAUUGGAGUUCUAGUUCAUUUACUUUGAGAAAAUUAGAGUGUUUAAAGCAGCCUCUUGGGGCACUGAAUACAUUAGCAUGGGAUAAUAAAAUAGGAUCUUCACAAUAUAUUUUAUUGGUUUAAAUUGGAUAUGAAGAUAAUGAUUAAUAGGGACAGUUGGGG
rnacentral:rRNA from 1 species